CCUACGGGAGGCAGCAGUGGGGAAUAUUGCGCAAUGGGCGAAAGCCUGACGCAGCGACGCCGCGUGAGUGACGAAGUCUUUCGGGAUGUAAAACUCUGUCGAGUGGGAUGAUAAUGACAGUACCACUGGAGGAAGCCCCGGCUAACUACGUGCCAGCAGCCGCGGUAAUACGUAGGGGGCGAGCGUUAUCCGGAUUUAUUGGGCAUAAAGAGCGUGUAGGUUGUAUCUUAAGUCAGUUGUUAAAUCCCCCGGNUCAACCGGGGUUCGCAAUUGAUACUGGGAUGCUAGAGAUUGGGAGAGGAAAGCGGAACUCACGGUGUAGCGGUGAAAUGCGUAGAUAUCGUGAGGAACACCAGUUGCGAAGGCGGCUUUCUGGACCAAAUCUGACACUCAAGCGCGAAAGCGUGGGGAGCAAACGGGAUUAGAUACCCCGGUAGUCCACGCUGUAAACGGUGUUCACUAGGUGUGGGAAGGUAUCGGACCCCUUCCGUGCCCACAGAUAUUACGUUAGUAGACCGCCGUCGGAGUACGACCGACGAACGUUAAACGUUAAAGUAAGUAGUACGACGACGAGACGACGCGACGACGACGACGACGGAGGAG
rnacentral:rRNA from 1 species